rnacentral:misc_RNA from 1 species
AACCCUUGUGGAGGAGGACGCCGAAGGUGGGGCUAAUGACUGGGGUGAAGUCGUAACAAGGUAGCCGUACCGGAAGGUGCGGCUGGAUCACCUCCUAACAGGGAGACAACAAAAUGUUUAAUAUUAUUAUUUUGUCACCUUAGGUCGAUCGGUAUCUCACGUUCUUAAUUUAUUAAGAAUUUCAUUUCCUAAGUUUUUCUAGGUCACACCCAUUAUUUUUCCUGGGCCAUUAGCUCAGGUGGUUAGAGCGCACCCCUGAUAAGGGUGAGGUCCCUGGUUCAAGUCCAGGAUGGCCCAUAUCUCUAUGUUGGGGGUAUAGCUCAGUUGGUAGAGCGCCUGCUUUGCAAGCAGGAUGUCAGCGGUUCGAGUCCGCUUACCUCCACUGAUUACCACCUCUUUCAUAAUCUGUAAAAAGGAAAUGUUUUGAGUUGUGAUCAAAUUCUGAACGAAUCUAGCUUCCUAAUGAAAACAUUAAGAUGCUGGACUCAUUGAAUUAAUUUCAUUGUUUUCAGAGAACCUUGACAACUGCAUAGAUUAUUUUUUAAAGACAAUAAGCAUCUUUAAUGAUGCAGAUUUAUUAUUUGUGCGAAUGCAUUAAUAACAAUUCUAUUAAGCUGAUGCUUCAAUUUUGAAGUUAUUGGUCAAGCUACAAAGGGCUCACGGA